rnacentral:sRNA from 1 species
AGUGACACCCUCAAGCCGGGCCUUCCUGACCUCACAUGACAUGCCUUAGUGAACUGCUGCCUCUCCGUGAAGGAUGAGUCGGGGAGGGGCUCACAGGCCAGGAGGACAGUGCCUGAGCCCCUGGUCUCUGCCUCCAGUUCUGCAGGAAUUCUCCAAGGAGGAGCGAGACCCAGUGAAAACUCAUGAAGGCUGGGGGGUGAUGUUGCCCUGUAACCCACCUGCCCACUACCCAGGCUUGUCUUACCGCUGGCUCCUCAACGAGUUCCCCAACUUCAUCCCGACGGACGGGCGUCACUUCGUGUCCCAGGCCACAGGGAACCUGUACAUUGCCCGAACCAAUGCCUCAGACCUGGGCAACUACUCCUGUUUGGCCACCAGCCACAUGGACUUCUCCACCAAGAGCGUCUUCAGCAAGUUUGCUCAGCUCAACCUAGCUGCUGAAGAUACCCGGCUCUUUGCACCCAGCAUCAAGGCCCGGUUCCCAGCAGAGACCUAUGCACUGGUGGGGCAGCAGGUCACCCUGGAGUGCUUCGCCUUUGGGAAGUGAGUGUGAAGAGAGAGGGGAAGCAGGGCACGGUCUGUCGGGGGCACAGGUGACCCCAGGGUGAGGGCAGGCAGAGUCAGGGCUCUCAUCUUGGUGUCCCUCACAGGGUCUAGCAAAGUGCUGGGCACAUAGUGGGUAUCGACCACCACUCACUGGACAGUAACUCUCUGGGUGAGGCAUCGCAUAUGCCAGGGGCCUUCCAUGGCCAGGAUCGCUUGGUCUUCCAGCAGUGCAUGGCAGGCUCAGACAGCUUGAGUAACACCCAGGGCUGGAGGCAGGCAGCACAGUGUACAGACUCCAACCCUGUCUGUCUCAUUCAGAUCCCAGCUCUGCCACCCGCAGACCUUGGGCAAACUGCCUAACCUCUCUGUGCCUCAGUUUCUUUAUGGUGGUGAUAAUAGUACCUACCUUAUAGGGUUGUCAUGAGGAUUAAAUCAGUUCAUACAUGUGAGAUGCUUAGAACAGUGCCUGGAAUUUAGUUAAGUGUUCCGUGAAUGUUAACAGCAAUCUAUUUGAGAAUCACAACAGAAAGUGUUCUCUUUCUUGCACUCCUAGAAGAAGGAUUCACUAGAACAGGGCUAAGCAAAUAGCCGGUGCUCAAUAAAUGUUUGUAGAAUGAAAGAAAGAAUGUGAUUUGUACUUUGGCCCCCUCCUCCCUCAACUAUCUCCUAUGGUUACCUGGGAGAAUCUUUGCCUUGUGGGAAGUUUUGGGCUUCCAGAAAAUCCGCAUGAAAAGCAUGUGGAAGAGGGGCCAGGUGCGGUGGUUCACAUCUGUAAUCCCAGCACUUUGGGAGGCCAAGGCGGGCGGAUCACAAGGUCAGGAGAUCGAGACCAUCCUGGCUAACACGGUGAAAUCCCGUCUCUACUAAAAAUACAAAAAAAUUAGCCAGGCGCGGUGGUGGGUGCCUGUAGUCCCAGCUACUCGGGAGGCUGAGGGAGGAGAAUGGCAUGAACCCGGGAGGCGGAGCUUGCAGUGAGCGGAGAUCGCCCCACUGCACUCCAG